rnacentral:rRNA from 1 species
GAUGAACGCUGGCGGCGUGCCUAAUACAUGCAAGUCGAGCGAACGGACGAGAAGCUUGCUUCUCUGAUGUUAGCGGCGGACGGGUGAGUAACACGUGGAUAACCUACCUAUAAGACUGGGAUAACUUCGGGAAACCGGAGCUAAUACCGGAUAAUAUUUUGAACCGCAUGGUUCAAAAGUGAAAGACGGUCUUGCUGUCACUUAUAGAUGGAUCCGCGCUGCAUUAGCUAGUUGGUAAGGUAACGGCUUACCAAGGCAACGAUGCAUAGCCGACCUGAGAGGGUGAUCGGCCACACUGGAACUGAGACACGGUCCAGACUCCUACGGGAGGCAGCAGUAGGGAAUCUUCCGCAAUGGGCGAAAGCCUGACGGAGCAACGCCGCGUGAGUGAUGAAGGUGUUCGGAUCGUAAAGCUCUGUUAUUAGGGAAGAACAUAUGUGUAAGUAACUGUGCACAUCUUGACGGUACCGAAUCAGAAAGCCACGGCUAACUACGUG